AGCAGCCGCGGUAAUUCCAGCUCCAAUAGCGUAUAUUAAAGUUGUUGCAGUUAAAAAGCUCGUAGUUGAAUUUCGGGACUAAUAUGUCGGUCGUGCCUCGGUACGAACUGGUUUUAUUGGUUUCUCCUUUCUGAAGAACUAUGAUGUCAUUAAUUUGGUGUUAUGGGAAGUUAGGACUGUUACUUUGAAAAAAUUAGAGUGUUUAAAGCAGGCUUUAGCUUGAAUACAUUAGCAUGGAAUAAUGAAAUAGGACGUUCGAACCUAUUUUGUUGGUUUCUAGGAUCAACGUAAUGAUUAAUAGGGAUAGUUGGGGGCAUUAGUAUUCAAUUGUCAGAGGUGAAAUUCUUGGAUUUAUUGAAGACUAACUACUGCGAAAGCAUUUGCCAAGGAUGUUUUCAUUAAUCAAGAACGAAAGUUAGGGGAUCGAAGACGAUCAGAUACCGUCGUAGUCUUAACCAUAAACUAUGCCGACUAGGGAUCGGACGAUGUUAAUUUUUAAUGUACUCGUUCGGCGCCUUAC
rnacentral:rRNA from 1 species